rnacentral:rRNA from 1 species
UACGUAGGGGGCAAGCGUUGUCCGGAUUCAUUGGGCGUAAAGAGCUCGUAGGCGGUUCAGUAAGUUGGGUGUGAAAGCUCCGGGCUCAACCCGGAGAGGCCACCCAAUACUGCUGUGACUAGAGUCCAGUAGAGGAGCGUGGAAUUCCUGGUGUAGCGGUGAAAUGCGCAGAUAUCAGGAGGAACACCAUUAGCGAAGGCGGCGCUCUGGGCUGGAACUGACGCUGAGGAGCGAAAGCGUGGGUAGCAAACAGGAUUAGAUACCCUGGUAGUCCACGCCGUAAACGUUGGGCACUAGGUGUGGGGAGGAGUCAACCCUCUCCGUGCCGUAGCUAACGCAUUAAGUGCCCCGCCUGGGGAGUACGGCCGCAAGGCUAAA